rnacentral:tRNA from 1 species
GGUUCCGUAGUGUAGUGGUUAUCACUGCCCGCUUAACACGCGAAAGGUCUCCGGUUCGAUCCCGGACGGAACCA